AACGCGAAGAACCUUACCCGGUCUUGACAUGCAGUGGAAGUAUGUAGAGAUAUAUACGCCCUUCGGGGCCGCUGCACAGGUGCUGCAUGGCUGUCGUCAGCUCGUGCCGUGAGGUGUUGGGUUAAGUCCCGCAACGAGCGCAACCCUUAUCGUUAGUUGCCAACAGGUGAAGCUGGGAACUCUAGCGAGACUGCCUGGGUUAACCAGGAGGAAGGUGAGGAUGACGUCAAGUCCGCAUGGCCCUUAUGACCGGGGCUACACACGUGCUACAAUGGUCGGUACAGAAAGCAGCGAAGCCGCGAGGUGAAGCAAAUCUCCAAAGCCGGCCCCAGUUCAGAUUGUAGUCUGCAACUCGACUACAUGAAGAUGGAAUUGCUAGUAAUGGCAGGUCAGCAACACUGCCGUGAAUACGUUCCCGGGUCUUUACACACCG
rnacentral:rRNA from 1 species